UGCUGCUGCACAUGGACAUGCGCACACACACACAAACAUUACUGCACUGAUUUUCUGGAGCAAACAUUCACUAGCAUAUUUGAAGAGGCACCUAUUCUACAGGUCUGAGGAUGAAUUACUGAGGGUUUAGGAACAGUCUACUUGCCACCCCUUCCCUAGCACACACAAGGAAGUUGAAAAACCACUAAGCCUGGUAACAAAAAAGGCACAACAACAAAAUGAAACAUGCAAUAUUCUUCCAUAGAUGUUCCAGAGAUUUCUGUCAACGUUUUCAGGACCCUCCUCAUUCCGACAAGUGUAGUGGACAUGACAGCUGUAUCGUCUGCAUGCAAAAAGGCUGUGGCCACCUUCAGACAUAAUGAAAAAGGUGAAGAAGUACCAUCAAUUGUCAGGAAAAUUUCACAUGAUUUAUUUACUUCAUUAGCAUUCACAAAAUGAUAGCUACAACCACAUUGGAAGCUUCAGGGCAAGAAAGUGUGACCUGGUUCACUCACAUGCUGAAAAACUAUAUUGGUUUUGGUUUUC